UGUGAUUAUCGUAUCAUCUUC
rnacentral:piRNA from 1 species